rnacentral:rRNA from 1 species
AUUGAACGCUGGCGGCAGGCCUAACACAUGCAAGUCGAGCGGAUGAAGGGAGCUUGCUCCUGGAUUCAGCGGCGGACGGGUGAGUAAUGCCUAGGAAUCUGCCUGGUAGUGGGGGAUAACGUCCGGAAACGGGCGCUAAUACCGCAUACGUCCUGAGGGAGAAAGUGGGGGAUCUUCGGACCUCACGCUAUCAGAUGAGCCUAGGUCGGAUUAGCUAGUUGGUGGGGUAAAGGCCUACCAAGGCGACGAUCCGUAACUGGUCUGAGAGGAUGAUCAGUCACACUAGAACUGAGACACGGUCCAGACUCCUACGGGAGGCAGCAGUGGGGAAUAUUGGACAAUGGGCGAAAGCCUGAUCCAACCAUGCCGCGUGUGUGAAGAAGGUCUUCGGAUUGUAAAGCACUUUAAGUUGGGAGGAAGGGCAGUAAGUUAAUACCUUGCUGUUUUGACGUUACCAACAGAAUAAGCACCGGCUAACUUCGUG